GGAUCAGUGGCGAACGGGUGAGUAACACGUGAGCAACCUGCCCCUGACUCUGGGAUAAGCGCUGGAAACGGCGUCUAAUACUGGAUACGAGUAGCGACCGCAUGGUCAGUUACUGGAAAGAUUUAUUGGUUGGGGAUGGGCUCGCGGCCUAUCAGCUUGUUGGUGAGGUAAUGGCUCACCAAGGCGUCGACGGGUAGCCGGCCUGAGAGGGUGACCGGCCACACUGGGACUGAGACACGGCCCAGACUCCUACGGGAGGCAGCAGUGGGGAAUAUUGCACAAUGGGCGCAAGCCUGAUGCAGCAACGCCGCGUGAGGGAUGACGGCCUUCGGGUUGUAAACCUCUUUUAGCAGGGAAGAAGCGAAAGUGACGGUACCUGCAGAAAAAGCGCCGGCUAACUACGUGC
rnacentral:rRNA from 1 species